AGCGUCAGAUGUGUAUAAGAGACAGGUGAAUCAUCGAAUCUUUGAACGCACAUUGCGCCCUUUGGCAUUCCGAAGGGCAUGCCCGUUCGAGCGUCAUUAAGACCCAUCAAGCCUGGCUUGGUCUUGGGCGUCGGGCUCCCCGCCCGCGCCUCUAUUCUGUCGGCUGGACGGUUAGAAUCUCAGCGUUGUGCAAAUCAAUUCGCGAGGAGGAUGACCGGACGCGCCGUUAAAACCCAUCAAAGGUUGACCUCGGAUCGGGUAGGGAUACCCGCUGAACUUAAGCAUAUCAAUAAGCGGAGG
rnacentral:misc_RNA from 1 species